rnacentral:lncRNA from 1 species
AACAUGGUAUUUCUACAAAGCAUCAUCACAUCUAUUUGUAUUACAUCCAAGAUUCAGACUGUGUUUAUUUUCGGACUACAAGUAAUUCAAAGCAGAAAUGAAGCUAAUUAUUGUGCUAGUAAUGAUGUUGGUUUGUGCGUACAGCAUGAGUAUUGAAAAGAAAAUACCUAAGAGUCACGACGUACCACCCAAAAGACAAGUUGCAGAAACUAAAGUUGAAAAAAAGAAACGUAGCGAUGAUGGUGAUGAGGAAAUAUGCGAUGACGAUGAUGAAACU